UACAGAGGGUGCGAGCGUUGUUCGGAAUUACUGGGCGUAAAGCGCGCGUAGGCGGACCUGCAAGUCGGGGGUGAAAGCCCGAGGCUCAACCUCGGAACUGCCUUCGAUACUGCGGGUCUCGAGUCCGGGAGAGGUGAGUGGAAUUCCUAGUGUAGAGGUGAAAUUCGUAGAUAUUAGGAAGAACACCAGUGGCGAAGGCGGCUCACUGGCCCGGUACUGACGCUGAGGCGCGAAAGCGUGGGGAGCAAACAGG
rnacentral:rRNA from 1 species